CAUCAAACUAGGUGAAGAGAAUAUAUAUCCCAUUACCGGAUGCAAGUGUACGAAGGCUACUUCUGAAAAAGCAACUUAAAGGACAAGCAUUUUCAUUGCCCAGCAGUGAUAUGGAAAGACUUGUCACGGAGACCGAAGGAUACUCGGGAAGUGAUUUGCAAGCUUUGUGUGAGAAGCUGCAUGAU